GUGGGCCCAUCUGGCCAGAUAGUAUUUUGGCCACAUAGCCUUUACACACACACUCACACACAUACACACGUUGCUGGAACAUUGAACAUGGACUGCACCCCCACCCAACACCCCCAGUCCCAAAUGCAGAGUUUAGCCAGGCUUCCAGACAUAAAUUAAAAAAUAAAAUAAAAUGAAACACAGUUGGUCUCUGGGAGGGAGAGUUCAUGCACAGUUGAAGGCAGAUGACCCUGGGAACCAGAGCCGAAAAGGAAAACUCCCUGCCCUUCCCUUAGGAUCUCUUUUCCCCAAGGGCCUCUGCCAUACAUCAGGGUCAUCAACACCAGCCACAUACAGGCCUCUAGCCCCUUUAAUGUCCAUCUCCCAAACUAUGAGAUUUGGUGCCAGCCUCCAUAUUUUCCCACCGCAGCCCAAGGGAGUGAGUGGCAUUCUGGAAAGGACUGGGAUAGUCGAGGCCUGUAGAUCUUUAGUUGGCUUCUCCAGGUUCUAGGUCUGGGUCAGGGGACCCCACGCAUUCCUUGCUGAGCCGCACAAUUUCUUGGGAUAGAACUUCCAUGUCCUAAGAAACAAACGAGCCAUCAGGAGCUAGAGGAGGGGAACAAAGGGACAGCUCUGUUGGCAAAUAUGAGGUGUUAUCUGUAGUCAGAUAGACUGACAGUGGUAUCCGGCCUUGGGCAGAAGAUCCACCACCUUCUCUUUAUAACAAAUUCGAGCUUGCUUCUUCACGGCAAGACCUGGCUAUGACCCCCUCAGUGAUGAAG
rnacentral:lncRNA from 1 species